AUACUUACCUGGCCAUGGGAACACCAUGAAAUCAAGAAGGCGUUCCCCCAGGGCGAGGCCUCGUCCAUUGCCUCCGCCCUGCUGACCCCUGCGAUUCCCCAAUGUGGGAAUCUCGACUGCAAUAAUUUAUGGUUAGUGGGGGACUGCGUUCCGCCGCUCUCCCCUG